rnacentral:rRNA from 1 species
GACGGAGGAUGCAAGCGUUAUCCGGAAUGAUUGGGCGUAAAGCGUCCGCAGGUGGCUGUGUAAGUCUGCUGUCAAAGAGCGAAGCUCAACUUCGUAAAGGCAGUGGAAACUACACGGCUAGAGUGCGUUCGGGGCAGAGGGAAUUCCUGGUGUAGCGGUGAAAUGCGUAGAGAUCAGGAAGAACACCGGUGGCGAAGGCGCUCUGCUAGGCCGCAACUGACACUGAGGGACGAAAGCUAGGGGAGCGAACAGG